ACCGUUAUAAUAAUUUUUUGUACGUACGCUGGCGGCGUGGAUAAGACAUGCAAGUCGGACGCUGAUUAGAGGGUAGCAAUAUUCUCUAGUCGGAGUGGCGCAAGGGUGCGUAACACGUGGGCAAUCUGCCGUGAAGUAAGGGAUAACUCGCUGAAAGGCGAGCUAAUACCGGAUGUGACGGGUGGGAGGCAUCUCCUGGACGUUAAAGCUGGGGACCCGCAAGGGCCUGACGCUUUAUGAUAAGCCCGCGUCCUAUCAGCUUGUUGGUGAGGUAAAAGCUCACCAAGGCUAAGACGGGUAGCCGGUCUGAGAGGACGAUCGGCCACACUGGAACUGAGACACGGUCCAGACACCUACGGGUGGCAGCAGUCGAGAAUCUUUCACAAUGGGGGAAACCCUGAUGGAGCGACGCCGCGUGGGGGAUGAAUGGCUUCGGUCCGUAAACCCCUGUCAUUUGUUAACAAACCUCUUAAAUUAAUAGCUUAAGAGCUGAUAGUAGCAAAAGAGGAAGGGACGGCUAACUCCGUGCCAGCAGCCGCGGUAAUACGGAGGUCCCAAGCGUUGUUCGGAUUCACUGGGCGUAAAGGGUGCGUAGGCGGUUAGGUAAGUUCGAUGUGAAAGCUCCGGGCUCAACCCGGAAAUGGCAUUGAAAACUACCUAACUUGAGGGUCGGAAGGGAGACUGGAAUUCCCGGUGUAGCAGUGAAAUGCGUAGAUAUCGGGAGGAACACCAGUGGCGAAGGCGAGUCUCUGGACGACACCUGACGCUGAGGCACGAAAGCUAGGGGAGCAAACAGGAUUAGAUACCCUGGUAGUCCUAGCCGUAAACGGUGUGCACUUGCUGUGGGCGGAUUCGACCCCGUCCGUGGCGUAGCUAACGCGAUAAGUGCACCGCCUGGGGAGUACGGUCGCAAGAUUAAAACUCAAAGAAAUUGACGGGGGCCCGCACAAGCGGUGGAGUAUGUGGCUUAAUUCGAUGCAACGCGAAGAACCUUACCUGGCCUUGACAUGCAAGUGGUAGGAACCUGAAAGGGCGACGACCUAGCAAUAGGAGCUUGCACAGGUGCUGCAUGGCUGUCGUCAGCUCGUGUCGUGAGAUGUUGGGUUAAGUCCCGCAACGAGCGCAACCCUCAUGUUCUGUUGCCACCCGAACGAGAGUUCGGAGCACUCUGGACAGACUGCCUCGCUUAAACGAGGAGGAAGGUGAGGAUGACGUCAAGUCAGGAUGGCCCUUACGGCCAGGGCUGCACACGUACUACAAUGCCCGGUACAAUGGGAAGCAAUAUCGUAAGGUGGAGCAAAUCCGUGAAAACCGGGCUCAGUUCGGAUUGUCGGCUGCAACUCGCCGACAUGAAGCUGGAAUCGCUAGUAAUGGCGCAUCAGCUACGGCGCCGUGAAUACGUUCCCAGGCCUUGUACACACCGCCCGUCACAUCAUGAAAGCCGGUUGUACCCGAAGUCACCCACGCUAACCCGCAAGGGGGGCAGGUGCCGAAGGUAUGGCUGGUGAUGGAGAAGUCUCCAUCCCCCC
rnacentral:rRNA from 1 species